UACGAAGGGGGCGAGCGUUGUUCGGAUUUACUGGGCGUAAAGGGCGCGCAGGCGGCCAUUCAAGUCAGGCGUGAAAGCCCCGGGCUCAACCUGGGAACUGCAUUUGUGACUGCAUGGCUAGAGUACGGUAGAGGGGGGAUGGAAUUCCGCGUGUAGCAGUGAAAUGCGCAGAUAUCAGGAGGAACACCAAUUGCGAAGGCAGCUCGCUGGGACGUUACUGACGCUGAGACGCGAAAGCGUGGGGAGCAAACAGG
rnacentral:rRNA from 1 species